rnacentral:rRNA from 1 species
CUCCUUUCUCUAAUCAGUGAAACUAAUCUCCCCGUGAAGAAGCGGGAAUAAAACUAUAAGACGAGAAGACCCCAUGGAGCUUUAAACCUAGUUACACUCCGAACCUUUACACCCAAUUAUUAGCCGAACCCUGUAAACUAGACUUUAGGUUGGGGUGACCGCGGAGUAAAACAAAACCUCCGCAAUGAACGAAACUACUAUCUUAUCUAAGAGUUACUCCUCUAAGAAUUAGCAUUCUAACAUAAAUGAUCCAAUUAUUGAUCAACGGACCAAGUUACCCUGGGGAUAACAGCGCAAUCCACUUCAAGAGCUCCUAUCGACAGGUGGGUUUACGACCU